UCUGCAUGCUGCUCCCCUAACUGCAGCACCUUAGUCACCACAAACCUCAUCAGUGUACAAUUAAUUACUCCUGUUAAUCAAAGUGGAAAGACUGAAGGAAUUACAGUGCCCAGCGGAUCAGUAAUGACCCGAAGCCCACCAAGAGCCCGCUAGAAUGAGCUGGGGAUGGAAAGCCAGGUGAAGAGACAGUGACUCAGCAGAAGGACAGUGGGCGAGGUGGUGCCCAGGUGUGACUGCACAUGACCCAGGCAGAGUCAAGCUUGGAUAUCAAUGCAAGUUAAAGAAUAA